CGAACGGUCGCGUAACACGUAAGGAACCUGCCCUAAAGUUUGGGAUAGCCCGUCGAAAGGCGGAUUAAUACCGGAUGUGGACAACGGAUUGCAUGUUCUGUUGUCUAAAGCAGCAAUGCGCUUUAGGAUGGUCUUGCGGCCUAUCAGCUAGUUGGUGUGGUAACGGCCCACCAAGGCGACGACGGGUAGCUGGUCUGAGAGGAUGGUCAGCCGGACUGGGACUGAGACACGGCCCAG
rnacentral:rRNA from 1 species